GACGAACGCUGGCGGCGUGCCUAAUACAUGCAAGUAGAACGCUGAAGCGAGGAGCUUGCUCUUCUUGGAUGAGUUGCGAACGGGUGAGUAACGCGUAGGUAACCUGCCUGGUAGCGGGGGAUAACUAUUGGAAACGAUAGCUAAUACCGCAUAAAAUGGAUUAUCGCAUGAUAAUCCAUUGAAAGGUGCAAAUGCAUCACUACCAGAUGGACCUGCGUUGUAUUAGCUAGUUGGUGGGGUAACGGCUCACCAAGGCGACGAUACAUAGCCGACCUGAGAGGGUGAUCGGCCACACUGGGACUGAGACACGGCCCAGACUCCUACGGGAGGCAGCAGUAGGGAAUCUUCGGCAAUGGACGGAAGUCUGACCGAGCAACGCCGCGUGAGGGAAGAAGGGUUUCGGAUCGUAAAGCUCUGUUGUAAGAGAAGAACGAGUGUGAGAGUGGAAAGUUCACACUGUGACGGUAUCUUACCAGAAAGGGACGGCUAACUACGUG
rnacentral:rRNA from 1 species